rnacentral:rRNA from 1 species
GACGAACCGUGCAAACGUUAUUCGGAAUCACUGGGCUUAAAGGGCGCGUAGGCGGUCUCACAAGUCAGGGGUGAAAGCCCACGGCUCAACCGUGGAAGAGCCUUUGAUACUGUGAGUCUCGAGGGAGGUAGGGGCGUGCGGAACUUCCGGUGGAGCGGUGAAAUGCGUAGAUAUCGGAAGGAACACCGGUGGCGAAGGCAGCCCCCUGGGUCGACACUGACGCUCAUGCACGAAAGCGUGGGGAGCAAACAGG